rnacentral:lncRNA from 1 species
AGAUGCCUGAAGCCUUCUAAGCUGGUGUUAUGUUACUCUGUACCAGCAGAUGCCUGAAGCCUUCUGAUGAGCAAAAAGUUAUGAAUUAUGAAAGAGGAGCUUAAACUUACAGUGACUGGUGAUCCUGAUGGCAAGUGCCAGAUUAUGAAGAACCUGCACAUCUUCAGUGUUUUCAAGGGCGUGUUGACGAAGGCACUGUUGUCCAGGGAAUACACCCCAAGGAAACUGGAGCAACAUCUGAGUUCUUCAACACAAUGAGAGGGAGUAGUUCUAUGCCCUUUGCCUUGGGUAUUGGCAAAGCUGCAGUCUAGAGAGACAGCUUCUGCUGCCUGCAUGCAAACGUGUCCCCCUCCUCAGCAACAGCCUCCAGGGCUUGUGCUUCCUGUGGGGGUGAGGGGAGAGAAGUCUGCAGCCAUCCCCUCAGCCAGGGUGUCCCUAGCCUGGAAAUCCUGCCACAGCAGGGGAACUUGGCACCCCACCACUCACAGGGGUACAGCUGGCAGUGGCACAGCACCAUCCUCUGCCAGCAGCACUGCUUUUACAGAGUCAAUGGCCCAGUAGCACAUGGUGAGCCUUAGGACUGCAGGAGAAAGGAGAAAUCAGUGUGCAUGUUCCUGUGCCUCUUGGGCCCACAGCAUCCAGGUCUUGUAACUCUCCCUUUCUUUGUGCUGUCCUGCCUCUAUUGUUUCUCAUCAGCUCUCAGUAGGUCAAUUUAAUGUUGCCUGCCUUCCUGGGGCAGAAAUAACACUCGUCCUUUCCCCUCAUCUUGAAGAUGAUGCUGUGCAGCUCUGGAGAGCCCUUGAGAAUGCAUUAGUGGCAUUACUGGCAGCUCUGACCCACAACUGUCUCUUACUUGUCUGCUGCAGACACGAGACUGAAUUCUCCAAUCCUACAAACUGUAAUGAAUAGAUGAACAGGAGACCAGGGUUUUGUCCUGGAUAUAGCAGCUGUGAUGCUCUCUGCAGAGACACAGGUUCAUCUCGCUCUUGGUACUCCCACCCAAGUAUGUUGAUGACAACCAGAAGAAUUGGUUUUCGUACUGUCAGGACAGUGCCAGUUGCCUAUUCAGCCAUGUGUAAAUGAGUAGGACCUCCUCCAGGCACAAAAUCCCCGGGAAGUGCAAGAUUUUGGCUCCUCCAAGCUUUGCUGGCUCUUCUGGUCCUGGACACGUGCAAAGCAGGGAGCACUGCCCAGGUACUCAGUGGAGAAAGAUAGUGUGGUGUGGCACAGGAAUAGCAGGUUCACUUUGUGCUGAAUGCACAAACAUGUGACUGUCCCAAGGCCACACAGUGUAACAGAGGAAUCAUUCAACAAAGCUUUGGCUCACUUGAAAUGCAGGACUUGCUGGAAAACACUGUCCCCAAGGUCACUGAAAGAUAUUGCUGGACUCGGCAGCUUAACACCCCCUGCUGAGCUGUUCAGAAGGUAACAACAAGCUCAUUUGGAAUGUGGCCCAAGGCUUGCUGCGAAGCCAAGCUCUGGGCCGAGCUGUCUGCUCUGCCCAGCACCCUGGGCUAGUGCUGACUGCAGCCUGCCUUCACCUGAGCAGACUUGCUUGUAAGGCAGCCCCGGGCCCCCUGCAGAUCCAGGCCCUCAUCAGACCUGGACUGCCUGCAGCUGAGCUUGAGCUUAGCUUUGUGUCUUGCAGGCAGUAAAAAGCAAAGAGUAUUUUCCUUGGCUCCACCUCACCUCCUGGUCUUGUCAUUGCCUCUGCUGUGCACUGCCAUUGCUGUUUGUUUACUCCUAGGGAUGAGUCAAACAGGCAGUGGCAUCUUGUCCUGAUGUUCCUGGACCCACCAGAGUUUUUUCAGUAGUUUUUUGCUGAGGUGGUCCCAACUCCUCUGGGUUGCAUCAGCUCCCCCUUCCCUCUCCUGUUUCAAGGCAGUUUGAGCCAUGGUUUUGUGUUGGCACUUGCAUGGGAACCCAUGUAGGAGCUGGAAGCUGGCUGUUUCUGGGUUGGAAGUUUUGUGAGUGUAGAAGGCUGGGAAGCCAGGGCUCUGGCUCAGACAAGAGCCACCCUGGUUCCCUGCCAGAAGUUUGUUAUCCUUGCCAUUUAGGUUUCUUCCUGCUUGAGGAGGCAAGUGAGUUAUGUUCUUGAGAACUGGCAUGGGCACAGAGCAAGAGGAGACCAAAAGCAAGCAGACAAAUGAUGGGAGCUCUCAAAGAGUAGAUCAAAGACAGGAGGACGGAGAAAAGAGGGAGGAAAAUUCAGAUAGUCUUCUGCUGCAGUUUCUGAGGAAGACAACUUCAUUCCCAGCAAUUAAAAGGUUAAUUCCCUUGAGAACACCUCAUUCCCAAAGUCUAUCUCAGAAAUAAUCAAAGUAUUUAAUUAAUAUUGCACUAGUCCAAAUAAGUACAAUCAUCUUCCAGGAGUAUUUACAUGUCAGGCUAUAAUUAGCAUCCUCCUUGGCACCAUCCCACAUGAGGUGACAGGUCACAGUUUCCAUUACAUGCUGCAUUUUUCCAUAUAGUUGCUCAUUCCUGAGUGACUAUGAAAUGAGUUAAUCAGACUCAGCAAGCAUUAUGGAUUGAGCGAGCAUGGUGGCAACCAGAAGAGGAGCAACUGAUUUUUCUUGUCAGGAUCUUGCUGACAAUAAUCAACACCAUAGUUAAGUAAUAUCAGAAAUGAACUUCUGUCUGUGGAGAAAUAUUAUUGGGUUAUGAUCAGAGCUGCAGGAGGCUGGGUCCUGAAGCACUGGCUUCUGCCACUGCAUUUACUGAGAUUUUCCUAUUUUUACUAUAAUUCUACUAAAAAAAACCCAAACAACCAAACCUGUUCAUAAUGAAGCAAAACAGAUACAUGUGUAAAUCUAGAAGACAAUAUCAAUGAGCAAGUUCCCACCUUCUCUCGUACAAAAAUGUAAGCAUUGUUUUUUUUCUCACUCAGAUGUGUGUUGUCUAUUUGCGAGAGCAACUGGAUGGGAAAAGGCCCAGUGAAGUGGGCACUGACACUCAGGAGUCCUCUGGUCUCCCUGGGUGCUUUUUGAAUUUCUUCCUUCACCCCUAUAUAAUGUACAAGGGUUUUGCAGAAAUUGUGGCUUCUGGUUUGGUAGCAUGUCAGCUCCUCAUUUAGCUGGCUUUCUGCUUGGAUAUGAAACUCCAAAUAGUGUUUUGCUUCUUACUAACCCACUCAGAAGUCCCAUGCUCCAUUUUGGAUAGGAAUGUGGAUUCAGUAUGUUUGAUGGAGAGGAGGGAAAGGAAGGAUGAAGCAUUUAGGGUGCAUGCAGAUUUCAAGCUGAUGCUCUGCCUGGCUGCUGUGAGGCAGCAGGAACAUUAAUGCUGACCCCUAUCUAUGGGCUGUCUUACAGCUGCAGCUGGACAAAGAUAAACAAGUAAAAGUACCUCCUCAGGCAAAGGAAGCAAGAAGAAAACUAGAGAGAUAAGGAAAUAGAAAUCUGAUGUUUUUGCAGUGAAGUUUCCUGCUGAACCUCUUGUCUGGGCCUCCCCGCAGUGCCUCAUGCAUGGUUGCUACUCUGCUGGUCCCCUGUGCUGGCAGCAGUGGACUGCCCUUCAUGCCUUGGAGCAUGCAGGGCUCAAUUACACACUUGCAUGUCUUCCUCAAAAUUGGACCAUCUGGACCACCACCUGAAUGUCAUUUUUUUUUUCCUGCGCAGUUCUCACAUAAUUUGCCAGCUUGUGUUUGUGAUCUGGGGGAGGGGAUGUGUGUGAAAGGUGGUGAGAUCUGGCAGAGAUUUUUUUGCAUAAACAGUGCCACUGACAGAACUUUUAUUUAGGGUUUAAUUGAUUGCUGCACCUCCUUGGAAACCUGUGCCACUUAUUGAGAGGAACUCCCUAAACCUGUGUCAACUUCCAACAGGUUUAUUCCUCUAAGUUUAUUCCUCUAAAAUAAUAAACACAUUAAUCACUCUAGGGGUAACCUCAGAAAUAAUAAGCAGCUUCUUGUUUGAAAUGCUUCCACAGGGAAAAGCACGUACCAGAACAGGACUUGGAGAGGCCAGUCUCUGUUGGGUGAUUCAGGUACCAUAGGCACCCAAACAGCAUCUACAGAUCAGCUCUCACAACCUCCUUCAGGAUACUCAGGUGAAACAAGUAUUGCUCCAUCACCCACUACACAAUUGAAGCUCUGAUUAUACAAAAGUGGCCACAAUCACAAUCUUCGUUUUAGGUGUUUGCUGUAUUCCAGGACACAGACUCCUAAAUCAAAUUAUGAUUCCAUAAAUCUAACUAAUCCAGGUUGUUGGCCUGUUGCUGCAGUGUGCAUUCUUGUACCAGUGCUGUCUCUGUCACCAGCCAGUUGCUGUAUGCAUAGGAAAGAAGGCCACUAUACAUAGGGACUGUAACCAGGUGGUACCUAAACACACUGUCCAGCUGUACAGCAUCCAAUCAUGGCCUCUUUCUGAAUAAUAACAAGUAUGUUGGUUCACAGGGUGUGAUAUUAUUUGCAUACAACAUUAAAAACAUUUUAAGAAUGGAAUUUUAAAAAUAUGGAUGUUUUAAUAAUAAAUAUUACUUCUUAUAGGGAAACUUCAGUGCCUGCUGCCUUCAGAGAGGCCAUGAGGAAAUAAGUUGGUUGCAUUGAAGCCAAUAAAUCACAAACUUCUAGUUAAAACCUUUUUGAAAUCAUGUUGCCUGCCAGUGUAAUAAGGGUUGAAACCCAAAUAAAGGCUUU